CAAACCCUCUUUGCAAUCAACCGCCGGUGCACUGGACGGCCUAUCAACCGUGGUUUGGCUUUUGCCUGUCGGAAAACUUCCCAUCAUUUGUGCAGCAGGCGCAGGCCGAUUUGGUGCGCUUCCUGCACGCGAACGAUUUAUUGGAUAUGUAGCGUAAAGGAAUGGACAAAUGCUACGGUAUCGAGGCGACCAGAACGUGCUUGGAAGCUCGAGUUUCCGUUUCGGGUACUGGGAUUAGGGAAUCGGUGAUUGAAGCGACGAAACCCGAAUGAAGAGGAUUAACUGCUAAUCCGAUCCCUCCGACUGUAUAAAUGCUUCCGAUACCAGCUGACUGCUCUUUUCGGUUGCUGGGUCUAGCACGCGUCUUUACUAUGCUGAAACUAGAGUGGUUCAAGAUCACGCAUGCACACAUUCACAUGCCGACGCCGUCGCUAGAUCCUUCGCUUGGGCGGAUGCACACCAGUCAUGGGGACGAAUAUGACGACCGAACAAUGAACUCGACCGAGGCCCGUGUCCCGGGCAAGGUUAAGGACAACGGAAGUGGAUACCGGAAUGCAAAUGGCGCACAGCUUCCUGGCACUCAAAGCCACUAUACAGCCGUUCCGUGCGCUGCUUCCGUGUGCUGCUUGCUUUCCUUAAGUCGAAAAAAGCGAAAGAAAACAAUGCGCCAGCUAAACAAAGAGCACACCAGCCAGCGCAAGAUUUGUCCCAACAGGAAGAGAAUUGCAUUAAAGGCCAGACGAGUGAGCCGGACUAUUUGCAUCACCUAGCAUCCGGACAUACAAGCGCACAUAAACAAUACGACGAAGCGAAAUGCAUGCACGCGCGGCCAUCGUUUUGCCUUUGUGAGCCGUGUCGGGGAACCAGGACCGGGCAAAAAGGAUGAGACCAGUGUGCAAGAACAGGAAGCCAUAAGACGAGCGGAACCGUCCUUCGGCCUCGGUGGAUUAAGGAUAUUCUACAUCUUACGAGGUAAGAGAUUUUUCCUUCCUUCGCACACAGCAUUUUACGUGAAUGUGGGUCCUUUUUUCUAUGUUAAUCUUAUUCUGUUUUGUUUUCUUCACAAUGAAUAAUCUCAUUCCAAUUUCUUUAAGACAGUGUAUUUGACGGAGGAAAAUUACCAAGUAGAUCAAUAUUACUGUUAAGCUAAAGCUGAUCGAAGACCAACAGUUUUUUUUUGCAGCAUCAUCAAAAACAUCAAAUGCAAGCAAGGAAUUAAAUCCAUUUAUAUCUACCUGUAUUAUGUUUUAUUAUUCAAUCGCUUUCCUUUCAAUUUCAAUCAUCAAUCAUCUAUUUGCAACCCUUCGAAAACCGGGUUGUGCGUCUGACCUACUUUUUAUCUAUUUUGAGACACAACACACAUACACACGAACACAUAUCUAUUUACAGCACCCUCAAUUAAAGGUGCUAGUUUCGCUCAUUUAAUUGCAAUAAUUAUUACACCACUCGGGGUUACCUUUUCAGCCUUGAAUUCGCUAGCCUCGCUAACGGUCGCAGCACAUAGCCGCUUCGAUCCAUCUUCCAGGAAGAGCGUUUGGGGUGCAGCAGCACUAAAACCUUUAAUACUUGCACUCAAUUUGCACCCCUUUUCUCUAGCCACCCGAGCGGCUUGUGAGAGAAGAUGGGCAAGAAAAAAGCAACGCAUCACUGUAGAGAGAAGCAGAAACAAAUGCUAGGGAACGAAGGACUUAGCGUAAGCGACGAACCCAGCCGUAGAAGAGGUAGAAAAUUAAUAGAAAUCGAAAAAAAACAUUAAGGCUUUAGGAGCAAUCUUCUCGUCCUUAUCGGAUGCUUCCCUGCGUUACCUUGGCUAGAAAGCAAUCCUAUCGGUCCCGUUUCGUUUUUACUCCUUAUUAAUAGCAAUCCCAUCCCAGGAAUCCUUUUCGCAAUUUCGAAACCUGAAAUUUUAGGAUCGCUUACAUGCUUGAUUGUUUCGAUCUUGGAAAGAAAACACAAACGCAAGCGUGUCCAUAACGAGAGCGGAGGGGUUAGUAAAGUAUCUCUUGCGAGAAGACAAAAAAAACACUCAUCCUCCUCCACAGCUGAAGGUGAAAAACGUUUGUAAUCGUAGCGUUUAAGUCAUUCGUCGUUGCGUGCAUUCGACCCGAACUGCUCUACAUAUCGCUCCCAAUGCCGUAUCUGUUCGCCCGACCCAAGGCUACGAUUGCUUCAGCGUACCCUCAAGGCUCGAUGUAAUUGGAAAAUUAGAAAACAUGAUUCAAAUAUUUUUAUUGCUUCAUUAUCCUUUGUUUCCCGCGGUAGGUCGCAGGAUGCCCGUGUUGCUGGAUGCCUUUCGGCCCUAUCGCUUUAAUUGCUGGUAAAGGUUUCUUUCAAUUUACUCCCUUUUUAUCGCAACAGGAAUGUGCUGGCAGCUAAGCGGUGCGGCGUGACCGGUCCGUUAGGGUUAAUUUUAAUUGGCGAAUGAAUGAGGAUCAACCUACCAAACAACCAGAAAAAAGAAGCAUCAUAUCCUUCCAAACCACAGGGUGAUGAUGGAUUCCUAAUCGAAUGUACCCUACCUUUCUGAAGAUAAGAGAUUAUUCAAGCGAAAGGACACCCAAGGACACCAAGGUUUUCUCGUGCUCGAUUUGUUUUACCGGUUCUAACAGUAGAUUGAUCGAUGGUCGGCGGCACCCGAUGGACCACCGGGUGGAAUCGUUUGUUGAUAAUAAGGGUACGCGACCUACCCUGGAGAUCUAAGCGCAUGCAGUAUAAGCGCCUAUACGUGUAACCCGAUCAAACCGCCGCCAUACAUUAGCUACAAUGAUUUCUUUCGGUAUCGCGUAUCGAUUACUUCUCAAGGUGUGACGGCUGAAAUCGAAACCAACCGAUGCUUUAAAAAACCCUUUCUCUAUGUAACUACUCACACGCUCAUGCACAUUUAAGAUUACAUCUUUCAGCGCGAUGGCUUUACCGGCCGGUUGGAUCUUCUUCUCGACAGCUCAACUCUGGCAGCUAUCUUUCAUCGAGUGCCACUUUGCUCAAGAGCCGCUUCUAAGCGGCAUGUCCUCGAGCAGCCGUACAACGCUCGUCGGGCUCGUAAAAAUGCUUUACAACCAAGUAAGGGUGUGCAACUUUUAAUGGAAGAAAACAGUUUUACCAAGUACCCUAAUGGAAAGGAAGGAAAAGUUCCCGCAAAAAGGACGAGGUCGCGCUAAAGCAAAUGUCCCAUCUGGCGCUGAGAAUACGAUUUUAACUUCAAAUGUAAAUGAAUUUUACAGGGAGUUAAAACAGAGUGCAAGAGAAAGAGAAAGAGAGAGAAAGCGGGCGUCAGAGGGUGUAAGUACAGAAGCCAGUUUGCUGCAAGGCAAAGCAAUGUUUAAUUGUUUGAUUAUGGUAAUCAAUGCUCCUACGGGCAAGGAUACGGACCGUUCUUGUUGGCUUCAAGGAUCGCGCUUACGAUCGAUGAUCGCUUCGUUUGACCAUGUGUGCGUGCAACGGUUUACGAUCGAGGGACUCUGGUGCAUGUCACAUUCUGGACUGCAUUUAAUGGUUUUGCCUUGAAGUUUGGGCUUUGGUUUAUUAGUCGCAGCCUCUUAGCUAUCGUAAAGUGUAUCGUGUUAUUAUCCUAAUGUUAAAGUAGCCUGUAGUCGUAUCUCUACGCUUUUACACUUUUUACCUUCUGUCACUGCAGGACGGCUUGUAAAAUCUGUUCUUUUCAGUUGCAGAGCAGGCGACGAACCGGAGCCAUCUGCAGCAAAUGUUUUGAAAAGUGAUAUUUAAUCUAACAUUCAAAACUAAUAAUUGCUAAACGUGCAGCAGUCGGGGCGGGAGCCGUUCCUUUUAAAUUAAAAAAAAACUGCUAAAUGUGCACUUUACACUUAACAUUGUUCCUCGUUAACUACAACUUUCAAUAUCUACUCUGGAAAAAAAUAAAUAUUUAUAUUUAUAGCAAAGCAAUAAAACAUUAACACUUUAUU